rnacentral:rRNA from 1 species
GAUGAACGCUAGCGGCAGGCUUAAUACAUGCAAGUCGAGGGGCAGCACAGGUAGCAAUACUGGGUGGCGACCGGCAAACGGGUGCGGAACACGUACACAACUUACCUUCUGGUGGGGGAUAGCCUUUGGCAACGGCGAUUAAUACCCCAUAUUACAUAUGAGCUGCGUGGUUUGUAUAUUAAAGAUUUAUUUCCGGAAGAUGGUUGUGCGUAUGAUUAGGUAGUUGGCGGGGUAACGGCCCACCAAGCCGACGAUCAUUAACUGGUGUGAGCGCACGACCAGUCACACGGGCACUGAGACACGGGCCCGACUCCUACGGGAGGCAGCAGUAAGGAAUAUUGGUCAAUGGACGGAAGUCUGAACCAGCCAUGCCGCGUGGAGGAUGAAGGUCCUCUGGAUUGUAAACUUCUUUUAUAGGGGGCGAAAAAAGGGAAUUCUUUCUCGUCUGACGGUACCCUAUGAAUAAGCACUGGCUAACUCCGUGCCAGCAGCCGCCGUAACAC